CCGAUCUGGCAGCUGAACUAGCUCAUCCAGUUUGAGGGGACAGCAGGUGGCCAGAGGGGCAGAGCCCAUCUGAAUGCCGACUUCCCUGAAGCUGGAAGCUUUAAUCCACUUGAUCUUCCACUGCCGGCUUAAGGCUCAGCGAGGGGCAGAGGUUGCUGGCCUAACUUUGCGUUGGUGUGUUGUUCCUUGUCUUUGAGGAUGGUGUGGGGAGGGGGUGGCCACCGUAUGUUUGGAAGGUCUCUGCAAUAGGCUGCUGCCAGGAUUCAUUCAGCUCUUUCAGCCCCAUCUUGUGAACCUCUGCAUGCCACUAGCUUUCCAAUUUGUCCCCUCUCAGUGUCUGAGUUGGAAAUGGCCUUGAACAUGGACCCAGCUGCUUUUCAGACUUCAUACUGUGCUGAGAAGCCAAAGCUAGAAGACAAGAAUCUUAUUUUCUUCUGUCAGAUGGGCAGGCGGGGCCUCCAGGCCACACAGCUGGCACAAGGUCUUGGAUACACAGGGGCUCGAAACUAUGCCGGGGCCUAUAAGGAAUGGCUGGAGAAAGAGGGCUAAAUAGAAGGCUUACUGAUUUGUGAUUGCUCUCAUGGCCACCUUGGUGUGCUCGGCAAAUCCUUGUAGUGUUUUACACAUGACAAAUUUAAAUAAAAAGAGCAUUUAAUG
rnacentral:lncRNA from 1 species